rnacentral:rRNA from 1 species
AUGAAAGCCUCCAUUGCACAUGUUGAUGCAUGUGUGGCUGAUAUUGAUGAGGAUUUACUUGCUGAUGCGGCUCUUCCUGUGCCUGACCAUAUGCCUGAAGAGAAUCACUUCUGGUAUGAUAAGGAACAUCCUGUGAUAGAGGAAGGAUCUUUGUUUCGUUCAAUGAAAGAGUUCAGGAUGCUCAUGAGAACAUUUGCUAUUAGAGGUAAGUUUGACAUCAAGAUCAACGAUAGUUACACUACUAGAUUUUUGGGUCACUGUAAAGGGAAUGGAUGUCCUUGGAGAAUAACUGCUAGGACAAUAGAAGAUGGAAAAACAGUCAGGGUUAACAAGAUAGUAAAGCCUCAUAAGUGUUCAUCAACCGCUGCAGUGAUUACAAGCAUGACAGACCAAGCAUGGGUGGCAGAAAAGGCAAUGGGGUAUCUUCAAACUGAACCAAACAUUGGUGCCAGGGAGCUCCAAAAAAGCCAAGUCGAGAACAAAUGUACUAUUGGGUAUCAUACUGUUAACAAGGGAAAAGAAAGGGCCAAGAAUAGUUUAUAUGGGACCUGGGGAAAAAGCUUUCAGUCUUUAUUGAACUUCAAAGCUGAGAUUGAUAAAAGAUCUCCUGGUAGCAUUGUCGAGGUUGAUGUCAAGAGGGAAGGAGGUGAACUGCAUUUCCGUAGAUUUUUUAUGGCACUUAAGCCGUGCAUUGAUGGCUUCUUGGCUGGUUGUAGACCAUAUGUCAGUAUAGACUCCACAUUUUUGACUGGAAAGUGGAAUGGUCAAUUAGCAGCAUGUACAGCACUAGAUGGGCAAAAUUGGAUGUUUCCUUUAGCAUUUGGUUUCUUUGGUAUAGAGACCGAGGAUAACUGGAUUUGGUUUAUGCAACAACUGCAUAGGGCAAUAGGACAUAUUCAAACUCUAGCUGUUUGUACUGAUGCAUGCAAAGGAUUAGAGAAUGCAGUUAAAAUUGUGUUUCCCCAAGCUGAGCAAAGAGAAUGCUUUAGGCAUCUGAUGGCAAACUUAAAAAAAUAA